CCAUCAGUAUAGAUAUAUUCAUAAGCAUUGUUGCUAUUUAAAUGACACAGGUGGAAGGCAGAAAAAUAUACUGUUGGUGAGGUGUAAGAUAGCAAUGAGCAUCGCAACGUGCCUUGUACAGAGUGUAAGAUAGUGCCCUUAGUUUUAAUUAUGUGUCUACUUUAUUUUGUCAAUAGUCUUACAACUUAUGUGGUAUAGUUUUUAUAUAGUUCUAAAAGUGUUUUAAUAGAUUGUGUGUCAGCAGAGGAGGUAGGUAACAAGUUUACCAGAAACAGGAUUAACUGUAACAGGGCUUAUGGUAACAGGGCCGAUGGUAACAGGGCUGAAGGUAACAGGACUGAAGGUAACAGGGCUGAAGGUAACAGGGCUGAAGGUAACAGGGCUGAUGGUAACAGGGCUGAAGGUAACAGGGCUGAUGGUAACAGGGCUGAAGGUAACAGGGCUGAUGGUAACAGGGGUGAAGGUAACAGGGCUGAUGGUAACAGGGCUGAUGGUAACAGGGCUGAAGGUAACAGGGCUGACAGUAACAGGGCUGAUGGUAACAGGAAUGAAAGGUAACAGGGCUGAUAGUAACAGGGCUGAUGGCAACAGGGCUAAUGGUAACAGGGCUGACGGUAACAGUGCUGAAGGUAACAGGGCUGAAGGUAACAGGGCUGAAGGUAACAGGGCUGAUGGUAACAGGGCUGAAGGUAACAGGGCUUAUGGUAACAGGGCUGAUGGUAACAGGGCUGAAGGUAACAGGGCUGACAGUAACAGGGCUGAUGGUAACAGGAAUGAAAGGUAACAGGGCUGAUAGUAACAGGGCUGAUGGCAACAGGGCUAAUGGUAACAGGGCUGACGGUAACAGUGCUGAAGGUAACAGGGCUGAAGGUAACAGAGAUGAGAGUAACAGGGCUGAAGGUAACAGGGCUGAAGGUAACAGGGCUGAUGGUAACAGGGCUGAAGGUAACAGGGCUUAUGGUAACAGGGCUGAUGGUAACAGGGCUGAAGGUAACAGGGCUGACAGUAACAGGGCUGAUGGUAACAGGAAUGAAAGGUAACAGGGCUGAUAGUAACAGGGCUGAUGGCAACAGGGCUAAUGGUAACAGGGCUGACGGUAACAGUGCUGAAGGUAACAGGGCUGAAGGUAACAGAGAUGAGAGUAACAGGGCUGAAGGUAACAGAGAGGAGAGUAACAGGGCUGAGGGUAACAGGGCUAAAGGUAACAGAGAUGACAGUAACAGGACUGAUGGUAACAGGGUUGAAGGUAAUAGAGAUGACAGUAACAGGGCUAAAGUGUAACUGGAUUGUUUGUUACAGGAAUGACAUUAUCUGGGUUGAUGGUAACAGGGUUGAUAGUAACAGAGUAAAGGUAACAGGGUUGGCUAACAGGGUUAACAGCAACAGAGUGAAUAAUAUAAGAAAUACAAGUAAUUUAAAUCAUAUUAUGUGUAUAAAUUGUGGCUAAAAUAUUCACCUAGUGUUGUUCUUAUUGUUACUGAAUGUUGUAUAGCCGCAGUUCUAGGACUAACCCUGUAACUGCUGGGUGCAUAUAAGCCAAAAAAAUAAAAUAAAUUAGAUUUGUUUCUGUAUGAUUGGAGGAGAUGUAGCCUAUUUGUUGACAAAUGGAUUUACAGUGGAGGAGUGACCUUUAUAAAAUGUCAUCUUCCAGCUAGUUUCUGCUUCUGUUUCACUGCUUCUGGAUUUGUUCUAACCUGAUCCACGUUUAAUUAAGAUCUGCAGAUACUGUAGGCUUUACAUUACAGACACUCUAAACAAGCACAGUAAAUAAAAGACUUACAAAAAGAGCGUAGGUGUGUGUGUGUGUGUGUGUGUGUGUGUUUGUCUGUGUGCACUAGAGUUUGUACUGUAUCUGUUUCUCUGAGUACUUUAUUAAUAUCCUCCUUUCACCCUGUUCUUCAAUACUUGUGAUAUAACCCCACAGCAUAGAAAACCACCACCAGUGUUGUGCCAGUUCACAGCUUUUCUGAACUAGUUCAAGUUCAGUUCAUACAUGCUCAAAGUGAACAGUUCACGUUCAAAGUUCACAAUUUUAAUUCUGAACUAGUUCAAAGUUCAGUUCAUUUUACUUUUUUCGUGAGAUAUUCAAAUAAAUACUUUUUUCACACUACAAGCUAGAAAUCACUAUACGUUCUUUGAAACGGCUCAUUGUAGACAUUUGCUCAUGACACUGUAAUUGUGGGUUUCUUACCCGGUGAUGAAAAUGUUCAUAAGGAGAAUCGGUGUCUGUGUCCGUGCAUCACUUCCACUAGCCAUUUUUUUUAUUGUAGCGCUUUCUCUCACUCUCGCCCUCGCGCUCCGCGCUCUCGAUGUUGGUCUCUCUCUCUCUCUCUCUCUCUCUCUCGCCCUCGCGCUCCGCGCUCUUGAUGUUGGUCUCUCUCUUUCUCUCUCUCGCUCUCUCGCUCUCUCUCGCGCGCGCUCCGCGCUCCGCGCUCUCUAGCCAAUGUUCAUUUACAGUGAUGUCCGCCGUUCAUGACACAUAAUGUGAACU